GGCGUUGGUAAUUGGAUCUGAGCUUCGACCUUUUUACUCUAGCGAGGUUAGGGAUGAAUAGAACACAGCCUGGUCCCUGAUGCCCGGUUGAGGAUUAAGAUCUGGUUCCUUAGACGCUUGGGAAUAGUCAUCAGCGUCUUCCAGCCACCUAAACGACAACUCAAGAGAGCUUAUCCGCUACGGAGAGAGAAGACCUCACAGUGGCCCUUACACCAUUCUCGGUGUUAAGAGUUGCAAGUCGAGGAAAGGAAUCCGAGCGAUCUCGGCUUGGGGUUACGCCAGCACUGAGGAAGUGGAAGAAGGAAGAUGAGUCAGACUGGACUGCUAGAGGCCCCAUGACCCCAAAAAAAUUUUUAAAUAAAUUGUGAACCACUGUGUAAA